rnacentral:rRNA from 1 species
AAUACCCAAUCCUGACACAGGGAGGUAGUGACAAGAAAUAACAAUACAGGGCAUAUGUCUUGUAAUUGGAAUGAUGCCGACUUAAACCCUCGGCAGAGUACCAAUUGGAGGGCAAGUCUGGUGCCAGCAGCCGCGGUAAUUCCAGCUCCAAUAGCGUAUAUUAAACUUGUUGCAGUUAAAAAGCUCGUAGUUGAAUUUGAGCUUGCGCGAUUCCGUUAUUGGAGUAUUGCGCUUGCUUUUUUGUUACUUUGAGAAAAUUAGAGUGUUUCAAGCAGACUUUUGUCUUGAAUACUUCAGCAUGGAAUAAUAGAGUAGGACCUUGGUUCUAUUUUGUUGGUUUUUGAGCCUUGGUAAUGGUUAAUAGGAACGGUUGGGGGCAUUCGUAUUUAA